rnacentral:rRNA from 1 species
GACAGAGGCCUCAAGCGUUAGGCGGAAUCACUGGGCUUAAAGCGUGUGUAGGCGGGUCGUUAAGUACCUUGUGAAAUCCCACGGCUCACCCGUGGAACUGCUGGGUAUACUGGGCGAUCUUGGGCCAACUAGGGGCAACUGGAACAAGCGGUGGAGCGGUGAAAUGCGUAGAUAUCGCUUGGAACGCCAAAGGGUGAAAACAGGUUGCUGGGGUUGUGCCGACGCUGA